GCCUAGUUAGCUUAGUUGGUAGUGCGUCUGCCUUGUAAGCGGUAGGCCGCGGGUUCGAUUCCCGCCGAUGCG
rnacentral:tRNA from 1 species